GGAUCGAGUGGGAACACAACCAUUCUGUGGCAACACUUGAGGCCUCCAAUUUCAGCAGUCUUUCCCAGGAGUGCACAGAAAAGGUCUUGCAAUUGUUUGAAAAAGGACACACCCCAGCAAUGGCCAGACAGCAGUAUUUGAAGGACCUAAAGGAUUCAUGUGAGGAUGAACUGGAUUUCCACAGAAAAAAAGCCAAUCGAGUAAUUAUGCCAAGGAGAAGGGAUUUCAGUUACCUUUACUCUCAGUUUGGCAAGGACAGGCACCGAUUCAUGGGGAAAGGAAAGGAUGGAAGCACAGGCUUCAAAGUUCCAGAUAAUAAAAAACAGCUGGAUACCUAUCUCUCCACUGUGAGAGACUUUGGCAACAACAUCUUCAAAGUUGGAAGCGCUUCAGAUACCAGUCAAAGUUACACCGUGGACAUGAGUCUUGGAG
ensembl:lncRNA